rnacentral:rRNA from 1 species
GGAAGGUAAAAAAUGUAACAAGGUCUCCGUUGGUGAACCAGCGGAGGGAUCAUUACAGAGUUGCAAAACUCCCUAAACCAUUGUGAACGUUACCUAAACCGUUGCUUCGGCGGGCGGCCCGGGUCUCUCCCGGCGCCCCUCGGCCCUCGCGGGCGCCCGCCGGAGGUAAACCAAACUAUUGAAUUGUAUGGCCUCUCUGAGUCUUCUGUACUGAAUAAGUCAAAACUUUCAACAACGGAUCUCUUGGUUCUGGCAUCGAUGAAGAACGCAGCGAAAUGCGAUAAGUAAUGUGAAUUGCAGAAUUCAGUGAAUCAUCGAAUCUUUGAACGCACAUUGCGCCCGCCAGUAUUCUGGCGGGCAUGCCUGUUCGAGCGUCAUUUCAACCAUCAAGCCCCAGGCUUGUGUUGGGGACCUGCGGCUGCCGCAGGCCCUGAAAUGCAGUGGCGGGCUCGCUGUCACUCCGAGCGUAGUAGUUACAUCUCGCUCUGGGCGUGCUGCGGGUUCCGGCCGUUAAAAGCCUUAUUUACCCAAGGUGACCUCGGAUCAGG